UUUCACUUCCCCCGUCCUUAUCCUCUCCUCUCCUCUCUCUCUCUCUCUCACCGACGGCAGCGGCGGGCUCGGCACCGGCGGCGGCGGCCUCGACCGCCGAUCGCCGACGCCCCGCGCCGCCUCCUCGCUCAUCAGGAUGGGCUCGGCGGUGUGUGCCGGUGCCGGCGUGCUCGGUGCGCCAGACCCGCGACGUCGCCUUCGAGGCCGAGGACGCGCUCGACGACUUCCUCCGGCGGCAGUCCACUUUGGUCGCGGUCGCGGCGACGUCCCCAACCUCCAUGACGUCGUCGCCUCGGCUACUCCGGAGCCCACUGCCCCUGGCCGGAUUUGGAAGCCAGCUACACAACGACGGGCGCCGGCCUGCCGUUCUUCGCCCUCGGCCUCCACCGGCUUCCCUUCCGACGUCGCCGCCUUGAGCUCCUCCUCACGCCCUCCCCGCCGGCCCUUCCCGAUCUGCUCCACCCAAGCCACCACGACGACCAGAUCCAGGAAGUCUCUCCAUCGCUCUAGUCCUGACAGUGGCUGGAGGACCCCGGCCGGUUGCAGCAAUUCAUCCCCGCAAAAAUAUCAAAGUUGACAUCGUCAGCCUCCUCAUUUGGAUAAGAAUUUGUGAAUCAGGAUGUUCCAUCUAAUUUGGUUUUGCUCGGGUUGUCAAAUGCUCAAUGGAUAUGUACCUGCGCAUGUGCAUCAGGUUGGUGUGCUUCGGCAUGUGGUGGGUUGAUUUACUUCAGCCAAGAUGGAUGAUACUCUGACAACUGGAAGCAUCAGGAGUACACAGGGGAAAAGAGACGUUUAGCAGAGGCUUCACUUGCCUACAACUGUGAGAGGAUAUAGAAGACUAAAGGAUUUACAGAUUACAGAUGAAAAGAGAAACGGCCAAUGAAUCAGUUCUACAUGUAGAAAGCUGUAGAUAGCUUUAAUUAGUGAGACAAUUGUGUGAACUUCAGUUUUUUUUUGCCAUUGCACCUUUUUUUUUAAAUGUACCGUUGAGCUGUAACUUCGAUGAUUUAUCCAAUAUAAAUAAAAAUAGUUAUGUUCAUAUAAA